rnacentral:rRNA from 1 species
AUGGGAACGCGAAGAACCUUACCUACUCUUGACAUCCAGAGAACUUUCCAGAGAUGGAUUGGUGCCUUCGGGAACGUCUGAGACAGGUGCUGCAUGGCUGUCGUCAGCUCGUGUUGUGAAAUGUUGGGUUAAGUCCCGCAACGAGCGCAACCCGUUAUCCUUUGUUGCCAGCGGUUAGGCCGGGAACUCAAAGGAGACUGCCAGUGAUAAACUGGAGGAAGGUGGGGAUGACGUCAAGUCAUCAUGGCCCUUACGAGUAGGGCUACACACGUGCUACAAUGGCGCAUACAAAGAGAAGCGACCUCGCGAGAGCAAGCGGACCUCAUAAAGUGCGUCGUAGUCCGGAUUGGAGUCUGCAACUCGACUCCAUGAAGUCGGAAUCGCUAGUAAUCGUAGAUCAGAAUGCUAC